GAUGAACGCUAGCGGCAGGCCUAACACAUGCAAGUCGAGGGGUAGCAGGAUUAAGCUUGCUUAAUUGCUGACGACCGGCGCACGGGUGCGUAACGCGUAUGCAACCUACCUUAUACUGGGGUAUAGCCCGGAGAAAUUCGGAUUAAUCCCACAUAGUGCUAAUGAAUCGCAUGGUGUAUUAGUUAAAGCAUUGCGGUAUAAGAUGGUCAUGCGUCCUAUUAGCUAGAUGGUGAGGUAACGGCUCACCAUGGCUACGAUAGGUAGGGGGCCUGAGAGGGUGGUCCCCCACACUGGUACUGAGACACGGACCAGACUCCUACGGGAGGCAGCAGUGAGGAAUAUUUGUCAAUGGGCGCAAGCCUGAACCAGCCAUGCCGCGUGCAGGAAGAAUGCCCUAUGGGUUGUAAACUGCUUUUAUUUGGGAAUAAACCUCUUUACGUGUAGAGAGCUGAAGGUACCAAAUGAAUAAGCACCGGCUAACUCCGUGCCAGCAGCCGCCGUAA
rnacentral:rRNA from 1 species